AAAAAUUUAGUUAAAUUCUAUAACGUUAGUUUGUCAAACUAAAAUUAUUAACUAUAAUAAUUUUUA
rnacentral:tRNA from 1 species